rnacentral:piRNA from 1 species
UCUUCCUAAAGGUGUAUGUAUGGUGUUCUC